UACGGAGGGGACUAGCGUUGUUCGGAAUUACUGGGCGUAAAGCGCACGUAGGCGGAUUUGUAAGUCAGGGGUGAAAUCCCGAGGCUCAACCUCGGAACUGCCUUUGAUACUGCAAAUCUCGAGUCCGGAAGAGGUGAGUGGAAUUCCUAGUGUAGAGGUGAAAUUCGUAGAUAUUAGGAAGAACACCAGUGGCGAAGGCGGCUCACUGGUCCGGUACUGACGCUGAGGUGCGAAGGCGUGGGGAGCAAACAGG
rnacentral:rRNA from 1 species